rnacentral:rRNA from 2 species
GAGUUAUUUUGAAAGCUUGCUUUCAAAAUAACUUAGCGGCGGACGGGUGAGUAACACGUAGGCAACCUGCCCCUUAGACUGGGAUAACUACCGGAAACGGUAGCUAAUACCGGAUAAUUUCUUUUUUCUCCUGAAGGAAGAAUGAAAGACGGAGCAAUCUGUCACUGAGGGAUGGGCCUGCGGCGCAUUAGCUAGUUGGUGGGGUAACGGCCCACCAAGGCGACGAUGCGUAGCCGACCUGAGAGGGUGAACGGCCACACUGGGACUGAGACACGGCCCAGACUCCUACGGGAGGCAGCAGUAGGGAAUCUUCCGCAAUGGACGAAAGUCUGACGGAGCAACGCCGCGUGAGUGAUGAAGGUUUUCGGAUCGUAAAGCUCUGUUGCCAGGGAAGAACGUCCGGUAGAGUAACUGCUACCGGAGUGACGGUACCUGAGAAGAAAGCCCCGGCUAACUACGUGCCAGCAGCCGCGGUAAUACGUAGGGGGCAAGCGUUGUCCGGAAUUAUUGGGCGUAAAGCGCGCGCAGGCGGUCAUUUAAGUCUGGUGUUUAAAACCUUGGGCUCAACCUAAGGUCGCACUGGAAACUGGGUGACUUGAGUACAGAAGAGGAAAGUGGAAUUCCACGUGUAGCGGUGAAAAUGCGUAGAUAUGUGGAGGAACACAGUGGCGAAAGCGACUUUUCUGGGGCUGUAACUGAC